ACAUAGCCAAAGGCAAAUACGCUGUUUAAAUUCUAAUCAGGAAGGUUAAAAACAAGAAUUUGGAUUCUCUAAAUUUUAAAUUUGUACUUUAGAGGAUAAAGUGUGAUCUUCUACCUUUGAAUGGUUUCUCUCUCAUAUUUAUUCUUGGUCCCACCUAUAAAAUAAAUGGUGAGAGAUCACACUUUAAUCUCUAAAGCGAAAUUCAAACUUUAGAGAAUCCAAAUCCAAAAACAAAGGGAAAAGGGAAGAUAAUGUCUUCUAAGAGACCAGAACUUCUGGCUAUGGCGACGAAGCUCUUUGAGCUUGGUGGUGCCGGCGAAACUCCUCCUCUGCUUGCAUGGCCCGAGACAGAACUUCCUCGGGAGAUAUUUUCUUCCUUUCAAAAACGAAGUUGUUCCUGAUAAGCCAAGAAUGCCAUAGAAGGACAUAGUACAGUGGCAUGAAGUGGGGAUUCUGCAACAAUGAAGCAUCUGGGGCAAUUAGCUAAAAUUUGGGAUUCCAGAGCUUUUUCCAUAUUUCUUUAUGUUGGAAGCGCUGAUGGAGCUGUUCUUGUGGGGGAUGGUAAAAUUGGGAGCUGACAAAUUUUCUGUGCUGUUUCACAGCCAAAGUUUAGACUGACGAGCGUUUGAUUCCAUUCACCAGACUCUGUAAAUAGUUGUCUAAGUCAGGUAAGGUUUUCAUUUUUGCAUUCUCCAUUAGGUAUAAGAAAUGGUAGUUGAGCUCCAAACCAUGGAUCCUCCCUUAUUCGAACACCUCCUUGUUUAGUUACAUGUCAUUUCACCCUUUUUUCUAGUACCUUUCGGUCCUCUAGUAAGCUUUGCCAUAUCCAGGAUGGCCUGUGUCCUGCUUUAGCUUCAAGAAAGGAAGAGUAGUUAAAGUAUUUAUUCUUAAAUAUUUUAUAGAACAUUGAGUGAAGUUUUUUGAGCAAUCUUCAGCUUUGUUUGGCUAGCAUAGCUAGAUUAAAAGUUUUUAGGUCUUUAAAUCCUAGUCAUCCAUUCAUCUUUUCCCUGCUUAGUGUGUCCCAACUGAUUCACUGCAUCUAAAAUAAUUAAAUAUAUCUCACCAUUAUAUAUUAAACUUGUAUGCUAAUAAUAAAAAAAAGGCAAACAUGUCUUGAUCCAAAAAGUACAAAUAAAAAAUCCAGAAAAAAAAAAAGAAAUAGAUUAAACUAAGGUAAUAUCCAAAUAGGAGAACAACAAAAAUUAACAUUUGAUAAUACUCUCUUACAACUCUCAUCUUCUAAAUUGUAGAUGCCAAUGUCAUGGCGCCAAACAUCAUCUUCUGCGUGUAAUCCAAACAUAUUAUCAGUAAAAUAGAUCUUAUUUCCUUUGUAACUGUCCGCUAAUAUCUGAAUUGAAGAAUUGAAUCCAACUAUUAAUACAUAAUUCUCUAAGUCAUAUAUUCUUGACCAUACUUUUGCCUUUUUAUUCAAUUUAUAAAUAUCGAAUUUGAUAGUCUCGUAAUCCUGCCACCGUUUAAAUCCCCUCGCCAAACUAACAUGUCUUACGAGCAUCAAUAAACUUCCAUCAUCACAACCAAUCAAAUAGUUAUAUUGGACAAAAUUGGUGUCAAGUUUAUAAAGAGGUCUGCCUUGGUAAAUUCUUCUCACCGGCUCUAACUUUUCCUUUAUAUCAAAUUAACAUACUUAAGGAAACUAUAUUUUAUCAAUCCUUUUGAAUAUACUCUUAGCUUUACUUUAAUUAAUUGUUCACCUCUUUCGAAGACUCUAAACUCAAACAAAUCUCAAUGACAAGAUUAAUUAUAUCAAUCAUUUUUUAGCCACUUAAUUAAUUCUCAAUCACAACUUCAAUUAUUAAUCACUUUAAAACAUUCAGAAACUAAAAGUACAAGCAAAAGACUUAAUUCAACAUACAAACAAAUCACAACAAGACAAGCAGCACAAUUAUAAAGAAAUAAGACAAGCAAACAUAAUCAAAUGCAGAUGCACAAUUAAGGAUGAUGCAUGUCUAGCCCUAGUGCAGGUAAUGAGCUCAUCUGUCGGUUUCUAUCCGCUCCCGACGUAACCCGAAGCAACUGAAACGGGUAUGGCUUUCCAGUUGGCUAUACCCCUGUGUACAGGAAAUAACACAGUUGUUGCAGUCCUCGCUCACUUGGUUCAUUAAAACUUAAUGCAUGCAACCUUUUUUAUAUGCACCUGUUUUGCAUGAUACAGUUGUUGCAGUCCUCGCUCACUUGGUUCAUUAAAACUUAAUGCAUGCAACCUUUUUAUAUGCACCUGUUUUGCAUGAUACAGUUGUUGGCUCACUUGGUUCAUUUUUGGUGACUUGGUUCAUUAAAACUUAAUGCAUGCAACCUUUUUUAUAUGCACCUUUGUACUUUGUACUAACAUGCAACCUUCUUCAUU